UACGUAGGGAGCAAGCGUUGUCCGGAAUCAUUGGGCGUAAAGCGCGCGUAGGUGGCCACAUAAGUCCGUUGUGAAAGUCAAAGGCUCAACCUUUGAAAGCCGAUGGAUACUGUGUGGCUAGAGUACGGAAGAGGCGAGUGGAAUUCCUGGUGUAGCGGUGAAAUGCGUAGAGAUGCGGAGGAACACCGAUGGCGAAGGCAGCCCCCUGGGCUAGCACUGACGCUCAGGCACGAAAGCGUGGGGAGCAAACAGG
rnacentral:rRNA from 1 species